CACGUGGGAACGUACCCUUUGGUUCGGAACAACACAGGGAAACUUGUGCUAAUACCGGAUAAGCCCUUACGGGGAAAGAUUUAUCGCCGAAGGAUCGGCCCGCGUCUGAUUAGCUAGUUGGUGAGGUAAUGGCUCACCAAGGCUACGAUCAGUAGCUGGUCUGAGAGGAUGAUCAGCCACACUGGGACUGAGACACGGUCCAGACUCCUACGGGAGGCAGCAGUGGGGAAUAUUGCACAAUGGGCGCAAGCCUGAUGCAGCCAUGCCGCGUGUGUGAAGAAGGCCCUAGGGUUGUAAAGC
rnacentral:rRNA from 1 species